rnacentral:rRNA from 1 species
UACGGGGGGAGCAAGCGUUGUUCGGAUUUACUGGGCGUAAAGGGCGCGUAGGCGGUCAGCACAAGUCAGUUGUGAAAUCUCCGGGCUUAACUCGGAACGGUCAAGUGAUACUGUCGGGCUAGAGUGCAGAAGGGGCAACUGGAAUUCUCGGUGUAGCGGUGAAAUGCGUAGAUAUCGAGAGGAACACCUGCGGCGAAGGCGGGUUGCUGGGCUGACACUGACGCUGAGGCGCGAAAGCCAGGGGAGCGAACGGG